rnacentral:rRNA from 1 species
GAUGAACGCUGGCGGCAUGCCUAAUACAUGCAAGUCGAGCGAACGGACGAGAAGCUUGCUUCUCUGAUGUUAGCGGCGGACGGGUGAGUAACACGUGGAUAACCUACCUAUAAGACUGGGAUAACUUCGGGAAACCGGAGCUAAUACCGGAUAAUAUUUUGAACCGCAUGGUUCAAAAGUGAAAGACGGUCUUGCUGUCACUUAUAGAUGGAUCCGCGCUGCAUUAGCUAGUUGGUAAGGUAACGGCUUACCAAGGCAACGAUGCAUAGCCGACCUGAGAGGGUGAUCGGCCACACUGGAACUGAGACACGGUCCAGACUCCUACGGGAGGCAGCAGUAGGGAAUCUUCCGCAAUGGGCGAAAGCCUGACGGAGCAACGCCGCGUGAGUGAUGAAGGUCUUCGGAUCGUAAAACUCUGUUAUUAGGGAAGAACAUAUGUGUAAGUAACUGUGCACAUCUUGACGGUACCUAAUCAGAAAGCCACGGCUAACUACGUGCCAGCAGCCGCGGUAAUACGUAGGUGGCAAGCGUUAUCCGGAAUUAUUGGGCGUAAAGCGCGCGUAGGCGGUUUUUUAAGUCUGAUGUGAAAGCCCACGGCUCAACCCGUGGAGGGUCAUUGGAAACUGGAAAACUUGAGUGCAGAAGAGGAAAGUGGAAUUCCAUGUGUAGCGGUGAAAUGCGCAGAGAUAUGGAGGAACACCAGUGGCGAAGGCGACUUUCUGGUCUGUAACUGACGCUGAUGUGCGAAAGCGUGGGGAUCAAACAGGAUUAGAUACCCUGGUAGUCCACGCCGUAAACGAUGAGUGCUAAGUGUUAGGGGGUUUCCGCCCCUUAGUGCUGCAGCUAACGCAUUAAGCACUCCGCCUGGGGAGUACGACCGCAAGGUUGAAACUCAAAGGAAUUGACGGGGACCCGCACAAGCGGUGGAGCAUGUGGUUUAAUUCGAAGCAACGCGAAGAACCUUACCAAAUCUUGACAUCCUUUGACAACUCUAGAGAUAGAGCCUUCCCCUUCGGGGGACAAAGUGGCAGGUGGUGCAUGGUUGUCGUCAGCUCGUGUCGUGAGAUGUUGGGUUAAGUCCCGCAACGAGCGCAACCCUUAAGCUUAGUUGCCAUCAUUAAGUUGGGCACUCUAAGUUGACUGCCGGUGACAAACCGGAGGAAGGUGGGGAUGACGUCAAAUCAUCAUGCCCCUUAUGAUUUGGGCUACACACGUGCUACAAUGGACAAUACAAAGGGCAGCGAAACCGCGAGGUCAAGCAAAUCCCAUAAAGUUGUUCUCAGUUCGGAUUGUAGUCUGCAACUCGACUACAUGAAGCUGGAAUCGCUAGUAAUCGUAGAUCAGCAUGCUACGGUGAAUACGUUCCCGGGUCU